rnacentral:rRNA from 1 species
CGAGUCUGCCUUGAGGAUCGGAGUGCUUGCACUCUGUGAAACAAAAUACAGGCUAGCGGCGGACGGGUGAGUAACACGUGGGUAACCUGCCCAAGAGAUCGGGAUAACACCUGGAAACAGAUGCUAAUACCGGAUAACAACAGAUGAUGCCUAUCAACUGUUUAAAAGAUGGUUCUGCUAUCACUCUUGGAUGGACCUGCGGUGCAUUAGCUAGUUGGUAGGGUAACGGCCUACCAAGGCGAUGAUGCAUAGCCGAGUUGAGAGACUGAUCGGCCACAUUGGGACUGAGACACGGCCCAAACUCCUACGGGAGGCAGCAGUAGGGAAUCUUCCACAAUGGACGCAAGUCUGAUGGAGCAACGCCGCGUGAGUGAAGAAGGGUUUCGGCUCGUAAAGCUCUGUUGUUGGUGAA